rnacentral:rRNA from 1 species
UACGGGGGGGGCAAGCGUUGUUCGGAAUUACUGGGCGUAAAGGGCUCGUAGGUGGCCAACUAAGUCAGACGUGAAAUCCCUCGGCUUAACCGGGGAACUGCGUCUGAUACUGGAUGGCUUGAGUUUGGGAGAGGGACGCGGAAUUCCAGGUGUAGCGGUGAAAUGCGUAGAUAUCUGGAGGAACACCGGUGGCGAAAGCGACUUCCUGGACCAGUACCGACGUUCAGGCACGAAAGCGUGGGGAGCAAACAGG